AAUGCACCAAUUUGUAAGUCGCUCUGGAUAAGGGCUUCUGCUAAAUGACGUAAA
rfam:Salmo salar isolate Sally breed double haploid chromosome ssa11, whole genome shotgun sequence.